UACGAAGGGGGCUAGCGUUGUUCGGAAUCAUUGGGCGUAAAGAGCGUGUAGGCGGCUUGGUAAGUCCGCUGUGAAAGUCCAGGGCUCAACCCUGGAAAGCCGGUGGAAACUGUCAAGCUUGAGUCCGGAAGAGGCGAGUGGAAUUCCUGGUGUAGCGGUGAAAUGCGCAGAUAUCAGGAGGAACACCAAUGGCGAAGGCAGCUCGCUGGGACGGUACUGACGCUGAGACGCGAAAGCGUGGGGAGCAAACAGG
rnacentral:rRNA from 1 species